GACGAACGCUGGCGGCGUGCCUAAUACAUGCAAGUAGAACGCUGAAGGAGGAGCUUGCUUCUCUGGAUGAGUUGCGAACGGGUGAGUAACGCGUAGGUAACCUGCCUGGUAGCGGGGGAUAACUCUUGGAAACGAUAGCUAAUACCGCAUAAGAGUAGAUGUUGCAUGACAUUUGCUUAAAAGGUGCAAUUGCAUCACUACCAGAUGGACCUGCGUUGUAUUAGCUAGUUGGUGGGGUAACGGCUCACCAAGGCGACGAUACAUAGCCGACCUGAGAGGGGGAUCGGCCACACUGGGACUGAGACACGGCCCAGACUCCUACGGGAGGCAGCAGUAGGGGAUCUUCGGCAAUGGACGGAAGUCUGACCGAGAAACGCCGAGUGAGUGAAGAAGGUUUUCGGAUCGUAAAGCUCUGUUGUAAGAGAAGAACGAGUGUGAGAGUGGAAAGUUCACACUGUGACGGUAUCUUACCAGAAAGGGACGGCUAACUACGUG
rnacentral:rRNA from 1 species